ACACCUCAACUCUUCAUGGUUUUUCCAUGAUGGGCUUGGACUUUGGGGGUCUUGCUGGCCUGUGGUCAGCUCCUCUCAAAUGAAUCAGCUUUCCAGUGUUUGGCAGCAUCACAGGUGUGAUAACUAUCUACGCUUGUGGUUUUCUGCCAGGUAAUCCUCAGCAAUGGGGAUUCGCUGGGGCUCAUAAAUGUCUCUCCUCAGUGAAGACAGCUUUGUGAAC
rnacentral:misc_RNA from 1 species